rnacentral:rRNA from 1 species
CAGCCGCCACGGUAAUACGUAGGGUGCAAGCGUUAAUCGGAAUUACUGGGCGUAAAGCGUGCGCAGGCGGCUUCUUAAGUCGGAUGUGAAAUCCCUGAGCUUAACUUAGGAAUUGCAUUCGAUACUGGGAAGCUAGAGUAUGGGAGAGGAUGGUAGAAUUCCAGGUGUAGCGGUGAAAUGCGUAGAGAUCUGGAGGAAUACCGAUGGCGAAGGCAGCCAUCUGGCCUAAUACUGACGCUGAGGUACGAAAGCAUGGGGAGCAAACAGGAUUAGAUACCCCCGUAGUCCCUGUCUCUUAUAC